rnacentral:rRNA from 1 species
UACGUAGGGCGCAAGCGUUAUCCGGAAUUAUUGGGCGUAAAGAGCUCGUAGGCGGUUUGUCGCGUCUGCCGUGAAAGUCCGGGGCUUAACUCCGGAUCUGCGGUGGGUACGGGCAGACUUGAGUGAUGUAGGGGAGACUGGAAUUCCUGGUGUAGCGGUGAAAUGCGCAGAUAUCAGGAGGAACACCGAUGGCGAAGGCAGGUCUCUGGGCUGUAACUGACGCUGAGGAGCGAAAGCAUGGGGAGCGAACAGG